AGAGAGCUGGGAGCCUGUGCUCUAGGGUAUUUCAACUGGGCCUGCACCUCUUCCUUCUUCAAUACCAGAAUAAAUCCCUUGGCUUCUGAACCCUUCUCCUUCCAUUAGCUUGAAGGACACAGAGCAGGAAGAUCCUUGCAGGGCCGAACUCCAAAUGGCAUGUGAAUUCUUCACAACACCCUCAGUCUAAACCCAUCCAUGACCACAAAAUCCACUCAAGUCAGUUGUUCAAGGCUGCAGUCAUAAAUGCUGGCUUAACAGGUAAAAUUUAGUCUUGAUCUGCUAUUUCUUUUUAAAGUCCAGUUGAUGUUGUUAAAAGUCAAAUGUUGAUUAUACUUAUUUCAGUUCUCAACACACUAGGGAAUUUAAAUUGGAAACUGGGAAAUAGGGAAAUUAAUGUUUGACACCAGAAGAUGGACACCUCAUCAAAUUAGACCCCAAAUUUCAUAAACAUUACUUUGCAAAGAAAACCUUAGACUUGACAAUACUAUAAAUUAUAUAAUUCAUGGUCAUUAGCAUGAUCCUAGUACUUAAAGUGAAACUUAAUAUGGAAUCAUAUCCAGUCGGUUACCUAUUUUAUAUGAGGCACUUCACUGUAAUGGGUUUAUCACCAAACCAUAUGUGUGAGUGUGUGUAUACAUUCUAAUAUGAAUAUUAUUAUAUACGAAUGGUCUCAUAUGUCUGAAUAUUCAUAUAUAUACGAAUAGAAUUUUCUUCCCAGCCCUAACUGCUUUCUGGAGUAGGGCAUUUUCCUACCACUUUCUGGACACUUGGAGCCCAAAAUUAGCCAAGAUAAUGUUGCCAAAUUAUCGGUCGCCUCUGUAUACCCAUGCCAAAUAGAAACGGAAACAGAGUUGGAGGAAACAGAAAAAGUAGCUUUAAUUGCCAGGCAAAGAGGGGAACGCGGCAGGCUAGUGCCUCAAGGACUGUGCCCCCUGGAGGGGAUCAUGAAGAGUCAUGUGUGAGAAGCAGGGCAUGGUCAGCUUGUGGACACUUUCCUGAUUGGUGGGUAGUGAGGUAACUGGGAGUCAGCAUCAUCAGUCUUCUGGUUCCAGCCAUUCUGGGGUCUAUGUGCUUGUGGGCAGCAUCUAGUUGACUUCUACCUGGUGGGGGCUUCAGCACUUGCAAAACAGCUCCAAGGACAUGGCUCAGAAUAUUAUCUGUGGUCUUUGAAGAACUGAAGGUCCUUGACUUUGUUGAAUGACUGAAUUAUCAUUACUGUUUUCUCUCCCUAUAUAUAUAGAAAGAGUAUGUACAUUUAUAUAUAUACAGGUAUAAAUUUAUAAAUUUAUAAAUAAAUAUUAAUGUAUAAAGAUGCACAUAAACAUAAAUUUAUCAAUAAAUAUUAAAUAUAUAAAAACACAUAUAGAUAUGUAUUCAUUAAUUUCCUUAAACUCUCCUUUAUAAAACACAGAAAAGAGUCAGUCAGGGUGGUUAUCUCCCUUCAGUAAUCAAAUCUUCUAAACUUUGCUAGAUAAACAGGUUUUUAUGAUGGUCUUUUAGGAUGUAUAUGCGUAAUAAUAUUAUUGACAGUACUUUAAAUGUUAUUUAUGCAACCAUAUCAUGAUGUCUUAAUAUAAUGUAUAAAAUUUAUGCUUUAUUUCCAUGAAUUUAGAAAUACUUUAGGAAUUUUGUAGAAAAUUCCAAUUGUUAUUGCUUCAUAGAAGAAAACUUUUACAAAUUGAAAUUUAAAAAGCAAUUGGGAGUUCCUGUUGUGGCUCAGUGGUAAUGAUCCCAACGAGUAUCCAUGAGAAUGUGGGUUUGAGCCCUGGCCCCAACUAAGUGGGUUAAGAAUCCGGAGUUGCCACAAGCUUUGGUAUAGGUUGCAGACAUGGCUAGGAUCCCACGGUCCUGGGGCUGUGGUGUAGCUAACAGUCCCAGCUCCCAGUUACAGUUCGACCCCUAGCCUAGGAAUUUCCAUAUGCUGUGGUGCAGAAAUAAAAACACAAAAAAGAAAAAAAAA
rnacentral:lncRNA from 1 species